CAGGAGAGCAGGAUGUACAUUAGGCAAUGUGAGCUCAUCAUUUCCUCUUUCAGAAAGCGACAACAAGCAGAAGUAAAUAUAUAGCAAACAAUAAAACUAAUAAUAACUCCAAGUUCCCAUGUGCGAAGGAGCAAACUUCCAAAGAAUUCUAUACGAACAACGAAAAAGAGUUCAGGGUUGAGACAAAUCCGAAGGAUAAAAUCUCCAAUAGUUUCACGUGAACUGCCAAUUAUCUUCAGAGACGAAUCAUACUGAAAAGAGAAUGUGUGACAGGUUUAGACAUAGUCACGAACAUGUAACUCCAAUUAACGUACUACCUAACAUCCCAUUGGAGAAUAUAGUAACUAUAAUCUGAUUACUGAGUAAUAGUAAUGAGAACUCUAAUGAGGAUUUCAUAUUAAUGGAAGUAUGAACAUAUCAUAUAAGCACCAACGUGAGAGGCAAACCUACCGUAGCCCCUGAUAUCUGCAAAGCAAACGAAUAGAAAGGGUGGGCAGCGAAGCGGGGGGGUGGGGGAGGGAAAUACUCGCCUCCUGUCAUUAUUAAAAUUAAGAUUAUUAGUACACUAAAGCUAGCAUAAUCUUAAAUUUUACCACAUGACAGGAAGCUUCGUAUUUUGCAUUUUUAACGCUGAGAAAAGAGUAUAGAACUAAAUAAGAGUCCUACUGUGUGCCGAGAGACAAGGUAUUCAGCGUUGUGGGGAGGUCUUCCCCGUUGAGCACCCACGUAUACACCAUCUAACGGGAAAUUAUACAAGACCAAGUCUGACCGUUUGUCAGCAGGAUGUUUAGUCCCGUAGAGUGAAAGGGGAACGACCUCCACAACUCAUAAGGUGGAGAGGUAUGACAUUGGGUAGUUGGUAUCCUAGAGGAUCCUAGUCCCUUGGGCGUCCUCAGGUAGUGAUAUGGGCUGCAGUUCUGUCUCCAUCCUCACAUAAAGGAUCAAGAUGCACGACCGAACCAGACAAGCUGGGAAUGUCCAGAUGUAGGGGUAGGGGCGUCACAUCCCUGGGUUCCCAGAUUCCCAAGAGGUCCCUGGCAGCCUGCAAUCGUCCACUGACCUGCCAAGAAACCCCCAAAGCGGGUCGAGGUCCCCCAGGUAGCCGACCCUCCCGGAUAGAAGAUGUGAGUACCUUAUGGCUCCGUGAGGAAUUGUCGGUCAUGAAUAUAGCAGUUGAAGAUCCUCGCCUGCUCGAGAAUUUCUGUAGACCUUGUAAGCAUGAGAAGCAUAAGUCCUUCGGAAGGGACCGGUCGGACGGAGUGCGAUCACCAUCGUGCCUCGACUUAUACUGUGACGAGUAGUAAUAUCCAAAUCAGUCAGCCCCUAUGAGAUGUGUCUCCCCCGGGAGACGGGUUGAUCUUCUGUGAAGAAGACGGGGAUCGAAGGAGUCUACAUGUUGUCUGAGAAACGUGAGUUGGUCCAUCCCAAUGGAUGUGAAACCUGACAGCCUAAUCUGUGGUUACCUGCAGUAGGGUGCAGCUGAUCUAGUACUUCUUUAUCAAUCCAUGUAUUGUGAAGUAUAGGACCAAGAAGUCUAGGUAUACAACAUACAGGGUCGCGGUGGUGCCGUGGAGAGUCGUGCGAAUAUUCCCAAGUUGUGGAAUAGUCUACAAAUCCUCUGAGCGAAUAGUCUUCUACAAGUCUGGAGGUUCCAGCCGGUUCUCGGAUGAACGUGGGUGUUGAUGAGUUUUCAGUUCCCAGGAGUGAUCUGAAUGUGGUUCUCCCGUGAGAGAGUGUCUCGUCUUCCCCACCUGUAUUCAUUACUUCUUUUGGUAGUUUAUCAGGGCCCACCAGGCUCUGAGCUACUGGAUCGGGAAGGAGAGGAUGUCCCCUGAAAACUGGGUAACGUAGUCGAGCGGGAAGGAAGAAGACCAUCCUGACGUGUCUUUAGGUCCUAAACGCAAGUCAGUUGACUACGUGAAAGUGGUCUUCCCCAGGAUUGAGUGCCUUUCACCUAGAUGUGGUGAAAUCCCCUGUGGAUGUAGUAGGAGGUAUAUUGAUGGUAUCUGUGCAUACUGUAUUCUCUGUCCGCUUAUCUGGAGCACCAUUGGUUGACUCUCAUUCUAUAUGGGCAAUAGAGCUGGCAGUAGCGGAUCUUGGGUCAGAUGUCCCGAAGUGGUUGACGACCGGCUCUGUUGCCAACCGGUUCCAAAGAAUCCAUUGUAAAGGUAAUCGCAUAACACAUCCCUCCGAGGGGUUUGGGCCCUUAUGAAAGCUGUGGGACCCAUGCAUGUCUAAUAAGUUCCCUUCGGAACUUUGUGCCUUGUGCCUGGGGUUCCGACUAUCUUGGCGCCCAGUACCGCCAACCAUCUGUCAGUGCGGAGGAGUGCUACUAUGGGCAUCCUAUGGGAGAGGCCAACACUGGGGUUUCCUGCGAGGAGCAGAAACUGUUUUUUGAGUCCGUAUAUCCAAGUUGUAUGCCCGUUCCCGGCCGAUGUUUUGCAUUGUCCAGCAUCGCCCAUGGUAAGGUUGUGAAUCCUGAAAGACCUCCUCCGUUGGUCACUAUAGUCAUCUGAGCCAUUCUGACCGGCAUGGAAGGGCAUGGGUUUGUCCGACUGUCAGCGGAUAUGGACAUUCUAAGCAAGAGGCUGCAAAGCCACGAGUGCAUAAAGUUGUCAAGUAGGUUUAUCGUAGUAAGGGAUACCCCUGUGUAAGGCACAAACCAGUAUUCAGACACAGGAUGCAGGGCAAACAGAUCAGUCUACUAUGACAGUAAGCAGUUUUCACGGAAACCCUUGCGGGUCUUAUUCUGAAUCGUGGCCAAAUAAAACAGACUGGGGCUCACCCAGUACAUAGAGGUUGCCAUAGCAUUGCCUCCGCUCAGCAGCACCGUGCAGUGCACGUAUGUUGGGGACUCACCCCAGGUGCACAGGGUAUGAACCCUUAAGUGCUGGCCAUCGCCCUGAUAGAGAGUGUCAGUCAAGUAGGCGGCUCGGAACUCCUGUUCAGCGGUUGUAACUGCAUGCCUCUGUUUGGCAUUUUAGUGCAGUGCACACCUAGCCGGGCCCGUUCAUAGGGCGUGGGCCUUUAACUGCAGGCCGCAGAAUAGGUACAGGGCAUAAACCCAUACCGUAUUAUGAUUCAUUAUCAAUGGAGGUAUUCCUUCAGCUGUAGGUAGAGGCUGUUGCCAUAAGACUUCCUUCGGUCGGGUAGUGUGACUCGCCUAUCAUAGGGGUCUCACCCUGAGAGCACCGGGUCCGAAGUUCGGGUUUUCAAUCCUCGAUCUCGCUGUUGAGAGGGGUAGGAGUAGAAGCAGCAGUGCUGUAGGGGGCUCACCCCAGUUGCACAGGGUAUGAACCCAUCAGUGCUGGCCAUCAGCCUGAUAGAGUGUGUCCUACAGCUCUUCCAAUAAUUAAUGCACCACCAUGGGGGAUAUUCUGUGCUGAAGCUUGCAACUCUGUCCCCCUUUUAGCCGAAUAGAUUGGCUUAUACCUAGUCAGAGAUCACCUCAGGUGUGCGGGGUAUGUACCCAUCAAGCAUGGGUCGUGGCCAAAUAAAACUGACUGGAUGAGAGCACAAUCCGUUUCAUUGUGUGCAAUGCACCAUGCAGACCCCAGCAGGGUGUAGUAGUGUGCAAUUUAUGGUCUCAAAAUAUCAAAACAACCCCAGCAGGGUGUGUGAUAUGCAGUAGUGUGCACUUAUUGCGUCCAAUUUAAAUUUAUUGUCUCAAAGUACCAAAACAACCCCAGCAGGGUGUGUGAUAUGGGGUACCCCAGCAGGGUAUCUGUUGUAGUGUAAAUAAUGCCAAUGGACUCCAGCAGGGUCUGUAUAAAUGACAGUAAGUUGUAAUAACCCCGGCAGGGUAUUCUGUAUCUGUCACUUAGUGUUGUCAAAUUGUCCCAGCAGGGCAAACCACAAUAUUGGGAUUUGUAUAACUGGGCCUCACCCAGGAUCCCAGAUGUGGCCACAGGGCGACCUCCAAAAAGCAGCACAGUAAUAGGGGCAGCACCCCAGGCAGGCACAGGGAAAUAAGCCCUUUAGUGCCUAAUAUGGCAGUAAUGAGACAAAAGUGACUGACCUCUGAGGGAUAAUAGGAUAUAGCACUAGCUCUAAGCACCGUCGUGUUCUGACAGGUAGUCUUAAGCGAUCAUCCAUUACCAGACAUAGAGUCUUGCUGUAGAUUCCUGAACCCUGAUCCAUUUUGAUAGUCUGUGUCCAAGGGUGCUAUCCCUUUUAAGUAGUUCCAGGGUAGUAUACUUUAAAGUAGUACCACAGUGGUAUCUUUAAGGAAUUUGAGGGUGAUAUCCCUUUAAGGGAUUUUUGGGGGUGAUAUCCAGUACCUCAAACCACUACACAUGAGUACGACUCAAUUCUGUAAAUAAUAGGCCAGUUAGAAUACUUACCUUUGCCUGGAUUCAAACUUGGGAUCCUGGGGUCCAACAUCCAUGUCAGAGCAUCGUAAGCCACAAGAGCAGCUAGGCUAGCAGCUGACAGCCCAGGUAUAUGUUACUCUCGAGCGCCAAAAUCAUCGUGGGUGAGAGUAGCAAAAUGGCUACACAUAAUCUCGCGAGACGCGAGAUUUAAGAUAGCCGCCGAGGGUAAAGGAGGGGGAAUAUGGUCCCUGGAUCAAAGAUGGCUGCCGCGUCAUGCUCGGGUUACCUUGUGGUCGUCCCACACACUGCCCUGCACCAAGGUAGUGGAUGUUGGAAAGCAUCCAGCACAUUACUGGGUGUACUGGGGCAGGCUGAGAGAGCGAGGGCAGUGAGUCUGGCCGUCCCCCUGAGGAAUGUAGGAGGAAGAGGUCGAACGGAUAGGCCGGAAGAAGGGGUUAAUGCCCGGGAGCCGGCGGGAACCGCGGGAGGGAAGGGGUUAAGCCCCAGCCAGACCCAGAAUCCCCAUGAGACCCUGGGGAGAAGGAGGAAAGUGGUGAAAGAGGGUCCCCAGAUGCCCCAGGUAUAGAAGGCCAGGAAAAUUGCCAGAAAAGUCAUGAUACAUAUGGUAUAAAGUACAUUUACCAUAACUAUACAUAAAACCUAUUAAGUCAAUAAUAAAAUUUACACCUAACACCUAUUAAAUCCAUAUUAUAAAAUACAUAUGAGAUCUAUUAAAUACAUUGAAAGUACAUAUAAUACUUAUCAAAACAAAGGAUGAAAUGCCUAUAAAACUGAUAAAUUACAAGUGAUAUUACUCAUAACUAAAGGUUAUGAAAUAAGGAUAAUGUUAAAUCUAUAUAAUAUCUAUGAAAUAACAGAAAAAACACAGCUGCACAUAGUACAGAAGCACAGCAAGAACAUACAGCAAAGUAUAUCAAAAAUAUAAUACAGAAACAACCUCAAAGAGGCAAUAGAAACAUAAAGUAGUAGAGAAGAGUAAUACUCUGACCUGUCUGCUUGAUGGAGCAGUAAAGAAAGAGGAAAUGAUGAGGUCACAUUGCCUUAUGUAUAUCCUGCUCUCCUGUGAUUGGUUCUUUUUUCUAUUUGUCUCUUUACUGCUGUAUGGAGUUAGUAAAGAGAGAUAUGCAAAAUACAAAGCCUCCUGUCAUGUGGUAAAAUUAGAGAUUAGUGUCAUUAGUAAUAUACUAGAUUGCCCACUUACAACCAGAUGAGGAUGAUGAUGGGCUCUGGCUGAAGUCUGGCUCCACUGGUCUGGUGUAGAACCGGCUCUCUGGCGGCUGUUGGUAACUGUGGUCACAAAAGUCAAUGAUCUGGGAGAACGGGAAGCAGCUCCAUUAUUUUGGGUCCCUUUACACAGCUCAAGGUCUGGGCCCCAGGGCCUGACGGUUAGUAUGCCCAUAAGGCCCACCCAUAAGUCCACCUACACGUUCCACCCAUGAGUUCACUCACAGGGAGUGGAGUGUGUAGGGGAUGUGUUAUGUGUUAUUGUAGAGGAUCUAAAGUGUGUGCUUAUGGAAUGUAGUGUAUAGGGAUACCAGUUUGUGUAGGUGAUGCAGUGUGUUUUUGUGUAAGGGAUAGAAAGCAGUGUGUGUUUGUGUAUAAAGGAUGUAUUGUGUGUUUCUGGAUGUGUCUAAGGGAUGCAUUGUGUGAAUCUGUGUUUGUAUGUGUAAGGGAUGCAAUGUGUGUUUCUGUGUAUGUAAGGGAUGCAGUGUGUGUGUCUGCAAGGGGUGCAUUGUAUGUAAGGGGUGAAUUGAGUGUGUGUAAGAGAUGCAUGGUGUUUCAGUGUGUGUUUCUGUGUGUGUAAGGGAUGCAUUGUGUGUUUCUGUGUGUACGGAAUGCAGUGUUUGUGUAUUUCUGUGUAUGUGUGCAUUGUGUGUGUGUGUAAUGGAUGCAUUGUGUGUUUCUCUGUGUGUAAGGGACGCAUGGUGUGUUUCUGUGUAUAUAUAGGGAUGCAUUGUGUGUGUGUGUAGUGUGAAAUAGAGAGUUUGAGGGGUAGGAUAGGGACUGAGUGCUACCAGCCCCUUUUUGCUUCUCUUUCCUUCCUUCCUCAGCCUCUCUCCCCUCUUGUCCCUUAGAGCUCUCCCCUCUUGUCCUUUAGUGCUCUUUCCUGCCCCACUGUCCCAUAAUGAUCUCUCUGCCCCUUUCCCUUAUUGCUCUCCCAUCCUGUCCCUUACUGCUGUAUUUUGCCUCACUGUCACUUAUUGCUCUCUCCUGCCCCCAAUCCCUUAGAGCUCUCCCCUGUCCGUUGUUGGUCUCUUCUCUCCCAUCCCUUAUUGGUCUCUCCUCUCUCAU
rnacentral:lncRNA from 1 species